rnacentral:rRNA from 1 species
UGCAAGUCGAGCGGAAACGAGUUAUCUGAACCUUCGGGGAACGAUAACGGCGUCGAGCGGCGGACGGGUGAGUAAUGCCUAGGAAAUUGCCCUGGUGUGGGGGAUAACCAUUGGAAACGAUGGCUAAUACCGCAUAAUACCUACGGGUCAAAGAGGGGGACCUUCGGGCCUCUCGCGUCAGGAUAUGCCUAGGUGGGAUUAGCUAGUUGGUGAGGUAAUGGCUCACCAAGGCGACGAUCCCUAGCUGGUCUGAGAGGAUGAUCAGCCACACUGGAACUGAGACACGGUCCAGACUCCUACGGGAGGCAGCAGUGGGGAAUAUUGCACAAUGGGCGCAAGCCUGAUGCAGCCAUGCCGCGUGUGUGAAGAAGGCCUUCGGGUUGUAAAGCACUUUCAGUCGUGAGGAAGGUAGUGUAGUUAAUAGCUGCAUUAUUUGACGUUAGCGACAGAAGAAGCACCGGCUAACUCCGUGCCAGCAGCCGCGGUAAUACGGAGGGUGCGAGCGUUAAUCGGAAUUACUGGGCGUAAAGCGCAUGCAGGUGGUUUGUUAAGUCAGAUGUGAAAGCCCGGGGCUCAACCUCGGAAUAGCAUUUGAAACUGGCAGACUAGAGUACUGUAGAGGGGGGUAGAAUUUCAGGUGUAGCGGUGAAAUGCGUAGAGAUCUGAAGGAAUACCGGUGGCGAAGGCGGCCCCCUGGACAGAUACUGACACUCAGAUGCGAAAGCGUGGGGAGCAAACAGGAUUAGAUACCCUGGUAGUCCACGCCGUAAACGAUGUCUACUUGGAGGUUGUGGCCUUGAGCCGUGGCUUUCGGAGCUAACGCGUUAAGUAGACCGCCUGGGGAGUACGGUCGCAAGAUUAAAACUCAAAUGAAUUGACGGGGGCCCGCACAAGCGGUGGAGCAUGUGGUUUAAUUCGAUGCAACGCGAAGAACCUUACCUACUCUUGACAUCCAGAGAACUUUCCAGAGAUGGAUUGGUGCCUUCGGGAACUCUGAGACAGGUGCUGCAUGGCUGUCGUCAGCUCGUGUUGUGAAAUGUUGGGUUAAGUCCCGCAACGAGCGCAACCC